ensembl:lncRNA
CUAUUCAAACAUACUCUCCUUAUCUCUGUUACACAGAAACAAGUGAAAACGUUCUAAGACUUCUAAUUCCUGUUCUUCUAGGAACCCUACAAAUGCCUAAUCUCUAGAAAUAUUAGCAGACUUCCAACUCCCCGUACUGUCUGCCAUCACAACUCUUGUCUAAAAAUUCCUCUGCUGAAAAGUGAAAGUGGAGCUGCCAGGCAGUUUAGUAAAAAUGUUCAGCCAUUUAGAAAGACUUUUUAGGCCUCUACCAGGAUUGUUCCCUGUCUGUCUGCACCCACUGUCUUCUACAGAAGUCAUUGUGUGAGAAAAAAAUGUGUGAGCUACAAUGUCAAAGUACUUUAACUGCAUAUUUGAAUGAAGAAAACAUGAAUAUAAUAUACAUAAUCUGGUUCCUAGGCACGACAUAUCUCUGCUCAGUUAACAGGUCAGAGGAGGAAUACUCUUACUUCUCUACCCUGAAAUAAAAUCUAUAAUUAACUGGAAGAUAUUCACUCUGAACAGUGAGUGACAGCAUGAAGAUUCAGCACAGUGGCAUCCAAAUAACAGUGUGAAGAAGAAAUUAAAUCCAGAAAGACCUACUCAAGGAACCUAGAUUUGGGUACAAUGAAGCUUUUCACCUUUCUCACAUCUCAAAGAAGAAUUCUAACCAGAAGGAUGUAAGGCAGCAAUCUCAAGUAUCUUGACUUCUAAGGAAGUGAAAGCCUAGUUUUCUGGUAAAUCCUGUGAAUACUGCAAUUCCAGUCAAAUCUUACUUUG